GAUGAAGAACGUAGCGAAAUACGAUACUUGGUGUGAAUUGCAGAAUCCCGUGAACCAUCGAGUCUUUGAACGCAAGUUGCGCCCGAAGCCACUAGGCCGAGGGCACGCCUGCCUGGGCGUCACACGCCGUUGCCCCCCCAUCUACUCCUUCGGGAUUGCGGGGGGGCGGAUGAUGGCCUCCCGUGCGCCUAGCCGCGCGGUUGGCAUAAAUACCAAGUCCUCGGCGACGCACGCCACGACAAUCGGUGGUUGCGAAACCUCGGUUGCCCGUCGUGUGCGUUCGUCGCGCAUCGAGGGCUCGAAAAAAUGCUCGGCUCCGGCUGGGCUUUCAACGCGACCCCAGGUCAGGCGGGGUUACCCGCUGAAUUUAAGCAUAUCAAUAAGCGGAGGA
rnacentral:misc_RNA from 1 species